rnacentral:rRNA from 1 species
UACGUAGGGCGCAAGCGUUAUCCGGAAUUAUUGGGCGUAAAGAGCUCGUAGGCGGUUUGUCGCGUCUGCUGUGAAAACUGGAGGCUCAACCUCCAGCCUGCAGUGGGUACGGGCAGACUAGAGUGCGGUAGGGGAGAUUGGAAUUCCUGGUGUAGCGGUGGAAUGCGCAGAUAUCAGGAGGAACACCGAUGGCGAAGGCAGAUCUCUGGGCCGUAACUGACGCUGAGGAGCGAAAGCGUGGGGAGCGAACAGG